rnacentral:lncRNA from 1 species
CUCCUGAAUGUCUCAUUCUCAAACUAAUUUUGCUUGAAAUUGUGGCUGGAGAUGGUAUGUUUGAAACUUAAUAUGAUGAACAUAGAACAGGAAGAUUUCAACACCUUUUUAGCAAAAGAUGUUCACAUAAACCUGAAAUGAAUAUAGCCAAAGAGGACGUGGUCUUUCAGCACCUCCAGCUAAAAAAUGCUGCAGAGGAACUUCCUGUAUUAAGUACAGAUGGGGUUUCACCAUGUUCGCCAGGAUGGUCUCGAUCUCCUGACCUCGUGAUCUGUCCACCUCUGCCUCCCAAAGUGCUGAGAUUACAGGUGUGAGCCACCACUCCCAGCCUUUGUCAUCAUUUCAGAUAGGGUGAAGGAAUGGUUUAAGUCGCCUCCAAGGUAUCUUGUUGGGGGUGAGGGGUACAGAGGGGUCUUACUGAAUGGUGAUGAAAAAGGGGACACAAGCGAA